rnacentral:rRNA from 1 species
GAUGAACGCUGGCGGCGUGCCUAAUACAUGCAAGUCGAGCGAACGGACGAGAAGCUUGCUUCUCUGAUGUUAGCGGCGGACGGGUGAGUAACACGUGGAUAACCUACCUAUAAGACUGGGAUAACUUCGGGAAACCGGAGCUAAUACCGGAUAAUAUUUUGAACCGCAUGGUUCAAAAGUGAAAGACGGUCUUGCUGUCACUUAUAGAUGGAUCCGCGCUGCAUUAGCUAGUUGGUAAGGUAACGGCUUACCAAGGCAACGAUGCAUAGCCGACCUGAGAGGGUGAUCGGCCACACUGGAACCGAGACACGGUCCAGACUCCUACGGGAGGCAGCAGUAGGGAAUCUUCCGCAAUGGGCGAAAGCCUGACGGAGCAACGCCGCGUGAGUGAUGAAGGUCUUCGGAUCGUAAAACUCUGUUAUUAGGGAAGAACAUAUGUGUAAGUAACUGUGCACAUCUUGACGGUACCUAAUCAGAAAGCCACGGCUAACUACGUGCCAGCAGCCGCGGUAAUACGUAGGUGGCAAGCGUUAUCCGGAAUUAUUGGGCGUAAAGCGCGCGUAGGCGGUUUUUUAAGUCUGAUGUGAAAGCCCACGGCUCAACCGUGGAGGGUCAUUGGAAACUGGAAAACUUGAGUGCAGAAGAGGAAAGUGGAAUUCCAUGUGUAGCGGUGAAAUGCGCAGAGAUAUGGAGGAACACCAGUGGCGAAGGCGACUUUCUGGUCUGUAACUGACGCUGAUGUGCGAAAGCGUGGGGAUCAAACAGGAUUAGAUACCCUGGUAGUCCACGCCGUAAACGAUGAGUGCUAAGUGUUAGGGGGUUUCCGCCCCUUAGUGCUGCAGCUAACGCAUUAAGCACUCCGCCUGGGGAGUACGACCGCAAGGUUGAAACUCAAAGGAAUUGACGGGGACCCGCACAAGCGGUGGAGCAUGUGGUUUAAUUCGAAGCAACGCGAAGAACCUUACCAAAUCUUGACAUCCUUUGACAACUCUAGAGAUAGAGCCUUCCCCUUCGGGGGACAAAGUGACAGGUGGUGCAUGGUUGUCGUCAGCUCGUGUCGUGAGAUGUUGGGUUAAGUCCCGCAACGAGCGCAACCCUUAAGCUUAGUUGCCAUCAUUAAGUUGGGCACUCUAAGUUGACUGCCGGUGACAAACCGGAGGAAGGUGGGGAUGACGUCAAAACAUCAUGCCCCUUAUGAUUUGGGCUACACACGUGCUACAAUGGACAAUACAAAGGGCAGCGAAACCGCGAGGUCAAGCAAAUCCCAUAAAGUUGUUCUCAGUUCGGAUUGUAGUCUGCAACUCGACUACAUGAAGCUGGAAUCGCUAGUAAUCGUAGAUCAGCAUGCUACGGUGAAUACGUUCCCGGGUCU